UUUUAAAAUACUAAUACAGUGCACGAUCGAGAGUGAGUCACCAACUAACCAACAGCGACCAAAUUCCAUUUAUGCCACACCACCAUAAAUGGAACAAUACACUGCCUAACACUAUUUGCCACUUCCUUCUCAUAACUCUUGGUCGGUAUGUUCGUAUUUACGUGGAUACUUAAUGACCGAACAUGUGGCUAAUUUGAUGGGAGGAUAAUAUUAUGAAAUUUGCUCACAUCCCAAAACCAUAAGAUCAUAAAUAAAUUAUAUGUUUCCGCCAACCGAAAUAGUAACUGUUCAUACUAUUUUAAUCUUUUUUCCUGAUGUUCAAUUUUUGUUUUAUUUAUUUAUUUAGUGAUCUUG